GAGGGUGACUAGUUGUCCCAGUUUGCCCAGGACUGUCCCAGGUUUAGCACUGAAUGUCUUUCAUCCCAAGAAACCCUUUAGUCCUGGGCAAACUGGGACCGUUGGUUACCCUCAGCUCAU
rnacentral:pre_miRNA from 1 species